rnacentral:rRNA from 1 species
GAACGGUAACAGGAAGCAGCUUGCUGCUUUGCUGACGAGUGGCGGACGGGUGAGUAAUGUCUGGGAAACUGCCUGAUGGAGGGGGAUAACUACUGGAAACGGUGGCUAAUACCGCAUAAUGUCGCAAGACCAAAGAGGGGGACCUUCGGGCCUCUUGCCAUCAGAUGUGCCCAGAUGGGAUUAGCUUGUUGGUGAGGUAACGGCUCACCAAGGCGACGAUCCCUAGCUGGUCUGAGAGGAUGACCAGCCACACUGGAACUGAGACACGGUCCAGACUCCUACGGGAGGCAGCAGUGGGGAAUAUUGCACAAUGGGCGCAAGCCUGAUGCAGCCAUGCCGCGUGUAUGAAGAAGGCCUUCGGGUUGUAAAGUACUUUCAGCGGGGAGGAAGGUGUUGUGGUUAAUAACCGCAGCAAUUGACGUUACCCGCAGAAGAAGCACCGGCUAACUCCGUGCCAGCAGCCGCGGUAAUACGGAGGGUGCAAGCGUUAAUCGGAAUUACUGGGCGUAAAGCGCACGCAGGCGGUCUGUCAAGUCGGAUGUGAAAUCCCCGGGCUCAACCUGGGAACUGCAUUCGAAACUGGCAGGCUUGAGUCUUGUAGAGGGGGGUAGAAUUCCAGGUGUAGCGGUGAAAUGCGUAGAGAUCUGGAGGAAUACCGGUGGCGAAGGCGGCCCCCUGGACAAAGACUGACGCUCAGGUGCGAAAGCGUGGGGAGCAAACAGGAUUAGAUACCCUGGUAGUCCACGCCGUAAACGAUGUCUACUUGGAGGUUGUGCCCUUGAGGCGUGGCUUCCGGAGCUAACGCGUUAAGUAGACCGCCUGGGGAGUACGGCCGCAAGGUUAAAACUCAAAUGAAUUGACGGGGGCCCGCACAAGCGGUGGAGCAUGUGGUUUAAUUCGAUGCAACGCGAAGAACCUUACCUGGUCUUGACAUCCACAGAACUUUCCAGAGAUGGAUUGGUGCCUUCGGGAACUGUGAGACAGGUGCUGCAUGGCUGUCGUCAGCUCGUGUUGUGAAAUGUUGGGUUAAGUCCCGCAACGAGCGCAACCCUUAUCCUUUGUUGCCAGCGGUCCGGCCGGGAACUCAAAGGAGACUGCCAGUGAUAAACUGGAGGAAGGUGGGGAUGACGUCAAGUCAUCAUGGCCCUUACGACCAGGGCUACACACGUGCUACAAUGGCGCAUACAAAGAGAAGCGACCUCGCGAGAGCAAGCGGACCUCAUAAAGUGCGUCGUAGUCCGGAUUGGAGUCUGCAACUCGACUCCAUGAAGUCGGAAUCGCUAGUAAUCGUGGAUCAGAAUGCCACGGUGAAUACGUUCCCGGGCCUUGUACACACCGCCCGUCACACCAUGGGAGUGGGUUGCAAAAGAAGUAGGUAGCUUAACCUUCGGGAGGGCGCUUACCACUUUGUGAUUCAUGACUGGGGUGAAGUCGUAACAAGGUAACCGUAGGGGAACCUGCGGUUGGA